AUACCAUUGGCCUGGGGCGCACACUGGUGCGACCCGAGGGCGAGUUUUCUUGUGCCAAUGAAAAGCUGUCUCUGCUUGAUAGACAGCAAAAAGUUAGCGAGCUUACAUUGACUUCAACGUGGCCGGCGCCCCUGACUUUGACGAGGGCUUUAUUUCGAAUGACCAAUAACUAGCCUAGCCCAAAUCAUUGACGUUCAGACGCAUUUAAAUGGUUGCUGGCAGUGACGGCGCUAGCGCCCUCUAUUGACCCACCGCCACUGAUAACGAUGUAUGCUUUCCCUUUGCAAUUUCAAAAGGUUUCCCAGAUAGGUUAGCUGUAUAGCUAGCUGGUAGGCUAUAUAAAGUAAAGCGAGUGGUAGCCACUUUCACAGGUCAGUUAAAACGAUGUUGUUGAAAAGCUUUUGCUGGCAAAUAGGCCUAUACUUCAAAAUGACACAACAAAACGAGAUAACUGUUACAGUUUAUUUAGCAUUAUCAACUUAAUGGUUUUGGAAACAACUGUCUGUGUCUGACUCUGUAGUGAUCUUACCCUGCGUUCAGAGUGGUAGAUAUAACAGAGUGGCGACACUUCCAUUGGACUCCGUUGUAGCGCCUACUUCCGGGGUAUGGAGCCUCGAAUAGUUCCAAACAACCAUUUUACGGCGUAGGAGAUCAUCCAUUUCCAUUGCUGGCCGUCGAGUAACUUCUGAGACGACCGAUUGCCUGCUGGUUUGUGAGCUCGACUUCGCCAUGUGAAGGUUGAUGUUCAGCACAUGAAGCCCUACAGAAGCCGCCGCUUCAACAAUGCUGAUUAUGAUGGGCGGUGAAUUUAACCUGUAUGGCUUUUUCGUUUUAACUUCUUGUUGACUGAAUUGUUUCUCUUUCUUGGUGCCAAAUUUAUUCUUUUUUGUUUUACAAGAGCCCUCUCUGCUCUCCUUCUCAUUAAUUUUUCCUUUUCUAGUUGCCUUAUUAGGUCCUCCACAGUCGCCCCAUCAGUCCCUGGCAGUCUCGCCCUGGAGAAGCUGGCCCUGGAGAAGCUGGCCCUGGAGAAGCUGGCCCUGGAGCAGCUGGCCCUGGAACAGCUGGCCCUGGAGCAGCUGGCCCUGAAUCACCUGCCCCUGGCAAAGUGGCCUCUUGAUUGCUCUCUGUGUCUCCUGUCAUGUCCUUUUCAUCGCUCUUGAAAUCCACCUCAAUUUCUCCCUCAAUCUCUGUAAUAAUUACAAGGUAAUGUUGCUGUUAUAUGUAUUUUGCCUUUGCAUUUGCAACUACUGUCAUCUCCAAUGUAAGCCAAUGUAAGAAAAUUAAUUAAAGCGAAUCAUUUCUGUAAUGUGAAUUUAAUCAUCUGCCACAAUCAGAAACCAAUAAAAUGUAUAAAUGGAUCUACCGGCAAUUGUUAAUUGGGUAGAAAUGUGUCGAUUAUCUACAUUGUGUGCAAAUCCUCAGAGAAUCCCUGACCUCUGGUUGUUUUUUAAACUGAAUGUACAAAUAUGAAUUAUGUAAUCUCAUUAGGAGUGUAGUCUAUCCUUGAAUUACAUGAAAUGGGGAAUAUUGUUAGCUGCAUGGAUCAUACCGAAGUUAAAUUUGGUGAAAUAUGUGUGGUCCGUUGCACUUGGUUCUGGAGGCACCCUCACAGAAGGGGGUUUCCUCCUCUUCGGCUUAGGGCGAUGAAUGAAAACUGUUGGGACUGCAUCGGGCCUCAGCUUCAACAUCCCUUCUCUUUUUGUGGCAGUGAAUUGGUCAUCUUCAAAGUGUACCUUAUAGGUAGGCUUGUAAGAUCAGUUUCCAUUGCACUUCAAAUAUCAUUGAAAAGUCAUAAUUCUCUACACUUAGAAUUAUUAUGCCCUUUGAAAUGCUAUCAAGUGAUGUGAACAUUACUUACAUUACAUAGUUUUUGACGGUUGCUGACCCCUGUCACUUGUACGUUUUGACGGCUGACCAUUGCCAUCCAUUUCUUCCUGCGCUCUUGGUCCUUGGGGAAGCCAUACAUGUGGUAACCCUUCUCGGACCGAUUGGAGCAUCCAAACGCUGCACAGCCAACCAUGGUAUGACCAUUGAUCUAAACCAAUUUUGAAUUUGCUCAGGGCUAUUAUAAGUAUUGUAAUGGCAUAAAGUAUAGUAUAUUUGCAACGUUAUAUGUUAAUGGUUUGCCCUACGUAUAUUAUAUAGUGUUCCCUGCUGUGUCCAUUGUUGAAUCUGUUCACACAAUCACACUCAGUUGUUCUUGUCACACUAAUUGUUUAAUAAAAAAAACAACUAUUUCAUUCAUCCA